GGCUCAGUUCCCUCUUCUCCGUCGCUGCCGAGUUCGGUCCGAGCAGCUGCGGUCAGCCACCGUCAGUCCAUCUUUCACGUUUCCCCUUCCAAAUCAAAGGCUCGUCGUUCAUGCUCUGUUCCCAUCUCUCUCUCGGACUUGUUGACGCCACAAAGGUCGCCAGGCUCCUUGUUUUUCUCGGUUUGGCGGCCCCGAAAAACAGCACCGCUGCCCAACUUCUCCACCUCUCUUCCUUCCGUCAUCGCGCGGCCACUGCCGGAGUUCAUCAGCCGAUUUGGGAUUUAGUUUUGAAAAGUGGGAGAACGUGUGAUGAUGAAAACUGAUCUCAGAGGUAGAAUACAUAUAUCAUAUAUGUAUUGUAGGUGGUUGUGUGACUCAUGGCAGAUCAUGGUCAGAUUUCUUGGUAACAGAUUUUUGGGGAGGAAUAUCUCAUGGGUUUAGAGCAUUUUGGGAGCCCUAGUGGCACUGAAGAUUCCCUACGGAUUUUCCUACACCAUCCCCUACUCCACCCCUCACAUACAUAAGUAAUGGCUCCACCAUCAUAUUUUAUGUUUGUAAGGGGUGGAGAAGGAAAUGGUGUAGGAAAAGCCGUAGGUGAUCCUCACUGCCCUAGUGGUUUCCAUAUCAGUAUGCCCCUUCUUUCUGCAAUGGUUUGGCCCUAAUGGAUGCCCUAUCAAUUAAAAUCAUUUUCCUUUU